UACGUAGGGGGCAAGCGUUGUUCGGAUUCAUUGGGCGUAAAGGGUGCGUAGGCGGCGCGGUAAGUCGGGUGUGAAAUCUCGGAGCUUAACUCCGAAACUGCAUUCGAUACUGCCGUGCUUGAGGACUGGAGAGGAGACUGGAAUUUACGGUGUAGCGGUGAAAUGCGUUGAUAUCGAUAGGAACUCCGGUGGCGAAGGCGGCAUACUGGACCACCACUGACGCUGAUGCGCGAAAGCCAGGGGAGCAAACGGG
rnacentral:rRNA from 1 species